CAAAACCGCACGCACGCACACACUUGCACACAAAUCUCUUAUGGGUAUUCUUUCAUUCGUUUUCUAACUCUGCGAUGUCGCACAGCAGCCUGAUCUCAUGGGAAGGUGCCUAAAUAGUACAACAUUUUAGGACAGCCUAAUUGUCAUGAGAACAAGGUGUGUGGAUGUGAAAAUGUAGUGACAGCGAUGUCACGGUGAAGGUGCCCUCCUGAUGAUGAAGUGCCUCCGGCUCUACGGCACCAACCUGGCGGCUCAUAAAAAGGAUGGACUAAGGCGAAUGGGUCCGACCGUCCUGAUAAUAAAUGAAAUCCUUUAGGUUCAGUUCAUGUCCUCUGCGUACGAUGAGUGCCAUCUCCUAAAGGAUGAAUCAUCUUGAGAUCAGCAAACAACCCAGAAUCAAGGUGGGAGGUUGCCGUUUCGCACUGGGGCUGCUGGCUGCCCUCCUUCAAGUGCCCCCAUCCUGCCUGACACACUGUAAAGAACAGAGUAGGCGACUCGGGGAGGGCUCUGCUGCGCCUCUGAGGAGCUGUGAGAUCGCCGGGGGUGCGGGGGGGGGGGGAUAAUUGAUUGAGACUAAGCCACUUUGCGAUGCCUAUUAUCUGUCACCUAAUAUGGUUUAUGGGGGACAAUAUCCACAGCUAUGAUGCUGCCCCCGCUCCAUUUGACCUUUUGGAACCGUUAAUAAGAUUGCAAAUGCAAAAUGGCCGACACUUGCACACAUUAUUCCACUCUUUUUUCAGCUUUAAUGAUUGCCUAACUUGUGUUGCUUCUUAUAUGUCCUCAGCUAUCUGGUUUUUGCUAAAAAAAAAAAAAAUA